rnacentral:rRNA from 1 species
UAAUACCGCAUAACGUCUACGGACCAAAGUGUGGGACCUUCGGGCCACAUGCUGUCGGAUGCACCUAUAUGGGAUUAGCUAGUUGGUGGGGUAAUGGCUCACCAAGGCGACGAUCCCUAGCUGGUUUGAGAGGAUAAUCAGCCACACUGGAACUGAGACACGGUCCAGACUCCUACGGGAGGCAGCAGUGGGGAAUAUUGGACAAUGGGCGCAAGCCUGAUCCAGCCAUGCCGCGUGUGUGAAGAAGGCCUUCGGGUUGUAAAGCACUUUCAGCGAGGAGGAAGGGGUUGUAGUUAAUAGCUGCAAUUUUUGACGUUACUCGCAGAAGAAGCACCGGCUAACUCCGUGCCAGCAGCCGCGGUAAUACGGAGGGUGCAAGCGUUAAUCGGAAUUACUGGGCGUAAAGCGCACGUAGGCGGUUUGUUAAGUUGGAUGUGAAAGCCCCGGGCUCAACCUGGGAAUUGCAUUCAAGACUGGCAAGCUAGAGUAUGUGAGAGGGGGGUAGAAUUCCAAGUGUAGCGGUGAAAUGCGUAGAGAUU